rnacentral:rRNA from 1 species
GGUGAACGUUGGCGGUGCGUCUAAUACAUGCAAGUCGAGCGACUCUUAGAGAGGAGCGGCGGACGGCUGAGUAACACGUUAGUAGCUACCCCCCGCUCAGGGAUAACCAUUGGAAACGAUGGCUAAUACCGGAUAGUCCCGUAAGGGUAAAGAUUUUUCGGUGGGGGAGGUGCUUGCGGCCUAUCAGUUUGUUGGUGAGGUAAAAGCUCACCAAGACUAUGACGGGUAACUGGUCUGAGAGGAUGAUCAGUCAGAGGGAAACUGAGACACGGUUCCC